ensembl:snoRNA SNORD73 Small nucleolar RNA SNORD73
AAUGAAUGAUGACAAAAUGUUUCGGUCCCAAAUGACAUCUACUGAUUAUACCGUUACGUUUAUUUCUGACAUU